rnacentral:misc_RNA from 1 species
AACGCAUAUUGCACUCUCUGGUAAUCCGGAGAGUAUGCCUGUUUGAGGGUCAGUAUAAUAUAAUAAUUAUCACGAUCUCACCGAUUGUGGAAUUGGGCUCUUAUUUCGAACAGAUUUAUGGCCUUAAAUUUACGCCAUGCGAUUAAUUCGAACCAAGCGGAGCAAUUAAACAUUCUCUCGUGGACGGAUUAUACUCGCAAGCCAUUACGGUUUUUUGGACGACAAAGCGCUUUCGCGAGCGCGAAGCCCAAAGGACGUAAAUUCAUUGACAAAUGACCUCAAAUCAGGCAAGAAUACCCGCCGAACUUAA